CCUGAGUAGCUGGGAAUACAGGCGCCCACCACCACACCCGAUUCAGUUUUCCAUUGGGUAUGACCUUCCUUCUGCUUGAGGGACAGCUUAGACACUCCUGCAGCAUCUUGAACAUAUGGAACAUGGUCACAGCAUAAGCAUGUGUGUGCUGUCCUCUACUUGCCCUGUCACCUCCAGCAUCUUGAACAUAUGGAACAUGGUCACAGCAUAAGCAUGUGUGUGCUGUCCUCUACUUGCCCUGUCACCUCCAGCAUCUUGAACAUAUGGAACAUGGUCACAGCAUAAGCAUGUGUGUGCUGUCCUCUACUUGCCCUGUCACCUCCAGCAUCUUGAACAUAUGGAACAUGGUCACAGCAUAAGCAUGUGUGUGCUCUCCUCUACUUGCCCUGUCACCUUUGUCAUUUCCAGGUCAGUUACUACAACCUCCACCUCCCGGAUUCAAGUGAUUCUCCUGCCUCAGC
rnacentral:lncRNA from 1 species